UCGUUAAACGGCCGCGGUAUCUUGACCGUGCAAAGGUAGCAUAAUCACUUGUUCUCUAAAUAAGGACUUGUAUGAAUGGCCACACGAGGGUUUUACUGUCUCUUACUCUUAAUCAGUGAAAUUGACCUCCCCGUGAAGAGGCGGGGAUAAUACAAUAAGACGAGAAGACCCUAUGGAGCUUUAAUUAAUCAACUCAAAAAGCAUAAAAUAAUACCACCAAGGGAUAACAAAGCUUUACAUGAGCUGACAAUUUCGGUUGGGGUGACCUCGGAGUAUAAAAAACCCUCCGAGUGAUUAAAACUUAGGCCUACCAGCCAAAGUAUAGUAUCACUUAUUGAUCCAAAAUUUUGAUCAACGGAACAAGUUACCCUAGGGAUAACAGCGCAAUCCUAUUCUAGAGUCCAUAUCGACAAUAGGGUUUACGACCUCGAUGUUGGAUCAGGACAUCCUAAUGGUGCAGCAGCUAUUAAGGGUUCGUUUGUUCAACGAUUAAAGUCCU
rnacentral:rRNA from 1 species